rnacentral:rRNA from 1 species
UACGAAGGGUGCGAGCGUUGUUCGGAAUUAUUGGGCGUAAAGGGUUCGUAGGCGGGAGUGUAAGUCAAGUGUGAAAUCCCUGGGCUAAACCUAGGACGUGCAUUUGAGACUGCAUUUCUUGAAUGUUGGAGAGGGUAGUGGAAUUGCUGGUGUAGGAGUGACAUCCGUAGAGAUCAGCAGGAACACCGGAGGCGAAGGCGACUACCUGGCCAGACAUUGACGCUGAGGAACGAAAGCGUGGGGAGCAAACAGG